AUGCGGUUUUCCCCACGGGCGGCGGGCAUGCUGUUUUCCCCACGGACAGCGACCUCAAAGUCUGCGACAUCGGCGGUUGGGGGGCGCACCCCUCCUCGCCAUUCUCCAUCGAAAGCCCUUCACUCUUCUCUGUGCGGUGCAGACCAACAGCCGUCCGGUGGGGAGAAGGCAUGGUGUCACCGACAGGAGCGCACCGCGUAG
rnacentral:rRNA from 1 species